GACAAUGAGGACAUAGUGGAAAAUUUGUUCUGGAUAGAUGGUGCGUCGCGCAGGGCAUAUGCUAGAUACAAUGUUGUCAUCUCAUUCGACACAACAUACAUGACAAACAUGUACAAAAUUCCCUGUGCGCCCUUCAUUGGCAUUAAUAACCAUGGGCAGUCAAUCCAGUUUGGUUGUGGGUUUGUUCAAAACGAACUAUCUGGUAACUUUGUGUGGCUGUUUAAUGCAUUCUUGCAUGCAAUGGGUGGAAUUGCGCUAAAGAACAUAAUAACAGAUCAAGAUUUUGCAAUGAGGAGUGCUAUUGAUGAGGUGUUCAUCGAGAUAGUACACAAGAAUUGCUGCUGGCAUAUAAUGAAAAAAGCACAGGAGAAGCUUGGAAGCUGA
rnacentral:rRNA from 1 species